AUGCUGACCACCUUGUUUCUAUCUUUUGUUCAUUACUCCAUCCUGAACUCUGGGCCACUCUAUGCAGCAUCUGUUAGACAUCUCCAUUUGAAUGCAUCCAAGAUGACUCAACUACAGCUUGUUCAGUAUGAAACUCAUCAUAUUCUCCCUCAUUUAUUCCGAACUGUUGUCACCAGAAUGUAGAAAAGGAAUUCUCAUUCUCUCCUAGAAGAAUGGAAAGCAAGAAUGUAAAGUGAAAGAAAUUGAAGAUUGGUUUUCCAAAAAUACAGAAAGUCAAACUUUAAAUUUAUUUAAAAUUUUCUAUAUUUUAAUUUUUCAAAGACCAGAGCUUAGAGAUUAACCUCUUUCUCUUUAAAUAAGUAAUUAUGAUAAAGGAAUGAUAGGUUUAAUUUGCCAUCAGAAAAUAAUGGGCAGUUUUGUAUAUAUUCUUAUGUCAUCUGUGAAUAAAGGCAUUUCUACA
rnacentral:lncRNA from 1 species